rnacentral:rRNA from 1 species
UACAGAGGUGGCAAGCGUUGUUCGGAAUUACUGGGCGUAAAGGGCGCGUAGGCGGUCUUGUAAGUCUUGUGUGAAAUCCCUCGGCUUAACUGAGGAACUGCACGAGAUACUGCAAGACUUGAGAUCGGGAGAGGGAAGCGGAAUUCCGGGUGUAGCGGUGAAAUGCGUAGAUAUCGGGAGGAAUACCUAUGGCGAAAGCAGGCUACUGGACCAUCACUGACGCUGAUCUGCGAAAGCUAGGGGAGCAAA